rnacentral:rRNA from 1 species
GACGAACGCUGGCGGCGUGCUUAACACAUGCAAGUCGAACGGAAAGGCCCUGCUUUUGUGGGGUGCUCGAGUGGCGAACGGGUGAGUAACACGUGAGUAACCUGCCCUUGACUUUGGGAUAACUUCAGGAAACUGGGGCUAAUACCGGAUAGGAGCUCCUGCUGCAUGGUGGGGGUUGGAAAGUUUCGGCUGUUGGGGAUGGACUCGCGGCUUAUCAGCUUGUUGGUGGGGUAGUGGCUUACCAAGGCUUUGACGGGUAGCCGGCCUGAGAGGGUGACCGGCCUCAUUGGGACUGAGGUACGGCCCAGACUCCUACGGGAGGCAGCAGUGGGGAAUAUUGCACAAUGGGCGGAAGCCUGAUGCAGCAACGCCGCGUGCGGAAUGACGGCCUGCGGGGUGUAAACCGCUUUCGCCUGUGACGAAGCGUGAGUGACGGUAAUGGGUAAAGAAGCACCGGCUAACUACGUG